GCCGAGCCGGCCUCCUCUGGGUCUCUAGUAGUUUCCUUGCCGCUGACGCAUGCUUGCGCGCACAGCUGGGACAGGCGCGUCCUACGCAGCAGCCGCGAGUCGGGGCGGCCGGUGCCAGACGGUUCCGGCGGGGGGCAGGGGCGGGGCGCUGCAGGAGGCCAGGGACUCUCGACGGAGGAGCCCCAUCGAGGCCCAUCUGACUCCUGACGAGUUGCCAUGGCAUCCUACUACGACAUCCUAGACGUGCCGCGAAGUGCGUCUGCUGAUGACAUCAAGAAGGCGUAUCGGCGGAAGGCCCUUCAGUGGCACCCAGACAAGAACCCGGAUAACAAAGAAUUUGCUGAGAGGAAGUUCAAGGAGGUGGCGGAGGCAUAUGAAGUGCUGUCAGACAAGCAUAAGCGGGAGAUCUACGACCGUUAUGGCCGGGAAGGGCUGACUGGGGCAGGAACUGGCCCAUCCCGGGCGGAACCUGGUGGCGGUGGGCCUGGCUUCACCUUCACCUUCCGCAGCCCCGAGGAGGUCUUCCGGGAGUUCUUCGGGAGUGGAGACCCUUUUGCGGAGCUCUUUGAUGAUCUGGGCCCCUUCUCAGAGCUUCAGAGCCGGGGCUCCCGACACUCGGGCCCCUUCUUCACCUUCUCUUCCUCCUUCCCUGGGCACUCUGAUUUCUCCUCCUCAUCUUUCUCCUUCAGUCCUGGGGCUGGUGCUUUUCGCUCUGUUUCUACGUCCACCACCUUUGUCCAAGGACACCGCAUCACGACACGCAGAAUCAUGGAGAACGGGCAGGAACGGGUAGAAGUGGAAGAAGACGGACAGCUGAAGUCAGUCACAAUCAAUGGUGUCCCAGAUGACCUGGCGCUGGGCUUGGAGCUGAGCCGUCGCGAGCAGCAACAGUGUGUCACCUCCAGGCCCGGGGGCACACAGGUCCGGCAGACUCCUGCCUCCCGCACCUCUGACAGCGAUCUCUCCGAGGAUGAUGAGGACCUGCAGCUCGCCAUGGCCUACAGCCUGUCAGAGAUGGAGGCAGCUGGGAAGAAACCAGCAGGUGGGCGGGGGGCGCAGCGUCGUCGGCAGGGGCUCCCCAAGGCCCAGGACCAAGAUCCCGGCGUGGGGGGGACCCCUGAGGCUGCAAGGGGGGAUGCGGCCAAACCCAGCCCAUCCCCAGAGGAGAAGGCCUCUCGCUGCCUCAUCCUCUGAUCACCAGGCCCAAACCACCCUGAUUUCAGGGCGACCGGGGGCUCCUGCUCACUGUCGGGGCAGAGGGGCAGGGCCUGAGUUGCAGGAGCCCUUCUCCAACUCAGUGCUCCCCCAACAGGUUUCCCUCCCAUGUCCACUCGCACUCCAGUGUGGACUCGGGAUUUGCUCUGCUCAGCCCACAGCUGAUAGGUCCCUGGUGAAGCCCAGGGUGGGGAGCCUCCGGGCAGUGGGAGGGCCUCCCAGGAGCCAGGAUGCACUUAUUCCUACUAGAUGGGGAGUUUCUAAGGGGCAUUAGUGGUUUGGGUCGGGCCUGUUGUGCCCAGGUCUUCUGCCACCUGUGUUGCUGAUGACAUCAAGGAAGGAGGACUUGGCCUGGGGUUCUCUGAGCCGGAGUCGGCAGCUACACCAGGGAGUCUCCCGUGCUCCUUGUCCAGCUGCAGACAUCCCACCCUGGUUUCGGUGCAGCGUUGAGCUCUGACGUCUCUGUUGCUUCCCUUCUGGUGCUGCUGCUCCUCCCUCGCUCUCUUCUCUCUGCACUUCCCCGCGGGCCGCAUCGCUUGCUUUCACUGCCAUCUGGCUAGGACUCCCUUCUUCCUUCCCCAAGAAAGCCUCAGUGUGACCAGGAAGAUGCUGUGGCCGGUAGGGCCAUAAGGUCUUCUGGGGAGGCUAGCUGGGUGGGGCGGGAGCCUCUCAUCCAGAUUCGGAACCGGAGCCCACUCCUCCUCCCUUCCUCUUGCUGCCUCAGCCUGCCCCAGGCCUCGGGACUAGGCAGAGAUGUUUUCUGAGCUGGAUGUCCGGGAUCCAGAGCCGCUGCACAGUUCCAACAGGACAGCGCCCUCCCCUGUGCGCUGGGAGGGGACCCUCCAUUCCUCUCCCUCACCCAUGCUGAGCGUAGAGCUGGGCCCGGGUGGUGGGUGGGGGCCGGGUGGGAGGCAUCUGUAGUCUUAGCCUGUGAUCUCUUCCUUGGCUGUUUGGUGCUGUCUCUUGGGGACUACAGGUCCCAGAAUGCAACACACCCUGCCUCAUUUCUGAUAGAUCAUGCUAGGGGAAGCGGUGCGUGGUUGUGGAGCUGUGCAUCUUGGGACAUGUAGUUCCAGCCCAGGUCAGCUUGUCACUCGCUGUGGGAAGGGGAGAUCUUGUCAUCAGAUUUGAUUCUGGCAGGGGUGGCAAGAAUGUGGAUGAAGGGGUAGUGGACCAAGCUUCGGUUCCCCUGACACCUCUUGCUAGUGCCGGGCUUAGAGUGUACAAAUCAAAGCCCUGCGGCAUCUGGGAGAGAGGCUCUUUUCCUGUGGGCAGUCGGAACAGGCCCGGAUGGGAUGGGAUGGGAUGAGCAGGGCGGGGCCCCAGAAGGCUGACUGAUGGGCGUGGGCAGGCAGAGAGCUUGGAAGGGGAGGCCACUGGUGUGAGAGGGAGAGAGAGAGUGUGUGUGUGUAUGUGUGUGUGAGAGAGAGAGAGAGAGAGAGAACAUGCACGCAUGCACGUGGCCGGGAUUGGUGUGUAAUGGGUGCUCCGGGCAUGUUGCUGCUUGAAUGGCUUCUUUGGCCUCUGACCCUGCUGCCCAUUCUUCUUCUCCAACACCACAAAUGAGCUGCCUCUCCUCCUGCCUGCCUGGGGAGCCCCGUGGCCAGGGAGGGGAGCGGUGGAGCCAGGGUGUUGCUAGCCCUGUGACAUUGCAUCUCAGAGACCUAUCAAGCCAGCUAGGCUGAGCUCAGACCGAGAGAGAAACACUGGAAGUCAACAAAUAAAGCUGUUUUGAGCGCUC